rnacentral:rRNA from 1 species
UUGUAGCAAUACAACUGGCGCACGGCGCACGGGUGCGUAACACGUGGGUAAUCUGCCCUCUGAUGGGGAAUAACCCGCCGAAAGGCGGGCUAAUUCCGCAUAAUAUUCCGAGAACUUCGGUUUUUGGACUGAAAGGCGUAAGUCGUCGGAGGAGGAGCCCGCGCCCGAUUAGCUAGUUGGUAGGGUAAUGGCCUACCAAGGCUUUGAUCGGUAGCUGGUCUGAGAGGAUGGCCAGCCACACUGGAACUGAGACACGGUCCAGACUCCUACGGGAGGCAGCAGUGGGGAAUCUUGCACAAUGGGCGAAAGCCUGAUGCAGCGACGCCGCGUGGGGGAUGAAGCUUCUCGGAGUGUAAACCCCUUUCGAUCCGGACGAAUACCUCGCAAGAGGGGUGACGGUACGGAUAUAAGAAGCCCCGGCUAACUACGUGCCAGCAGCCGCGGUAAGACGUAGGGGGCCAGCGUUGUUCGGAAUUACUGGGUGUAAAGGGUUCGUAGGCGGUGUGGCAAGUCGGGAGUGAAAUCUCUGGGCUCAACCCAGAGGCUGCUUCCGAAACUGCUGUGCUUGAGUGUGGGAGAGGCGCGUGGAAUUGCAGGUGUAGCGGUGAAAUGCGUAGAUAUCUGCAGGAACACCCGUGGCGAAAGCGGCGCGCUGGACCACUACUGACGCUGAAGAACGAAAGCUAGGGGAGCAAACAGGAUUAGAUACCCUGGUAGUCCUAGCCCUAAACGAUCAGACUUUGGGGUGCCACCCGUUCGGGUGGCGUCCCGGAGCUAACGCGUUAAGUCCUGC